UGUGUCGAUGAUUGUGUUUCCU
rnacentral:siRNA from 1 species